UCCUCCACCUUGAUCUUUAACUGAAGUGCA
rnacentral:piRNA from 1 species